rnacentral:rRNA from 1 species
UACGGGGGGGGCAAGCGUUGUUCGGAAUUACUGGGCGUAAAGGGUUCGUAGGCGGCCAACUAAGUCAGACGUGAAAUCCCUCAGCUUAACUGGGGAACUGCGUCUGAUACUGGAUGGCUUGGAUUCGGGAGAGGAAUGCGGAAUUCCAGGUGUAGCGGUGAAAUGCGUAGAUAUCUGGAGGAACACCGGUGGCGAAGGCGGCAUUCUGGACCGACAUUGACGCUGAGGAGCGAAAGCCAGGGGAGCAAACGGG